UUCAGGUACGGUGACAUGGUACCCUCGACGAUCAUGGGCAAGGUAGUGGGAGGGAUCUGCUCACUGUCUGGUGUCUUGGUCAUUGCUCUGCCAGUGCCCGUAAUUGUCUCCAAC
rfam:Mesocestoides corti genome assembly, scaffold: MCOS_scaffold0000583